ACGCUGGCGGCAUGCCUCAUACAUGCAAGUCGAACGAGGUCUUCGGACCUAGUGGCGCACGGGUGAGUAACAUGUGGGAAUCUACCUAAAGGUUCGGAAUAACUGCGGGAAACUGUAGCUAAUACCGGAUGUGUCUGCAAAGAGAAAGAUUUAUCGCCUUUAGAUGAGCCCGCACUAGAUUAGCUAGUUGGUGAGGUAAUUGCUCCACCAAGGCUACGAUCUAUAGCUGAUUUGAGAGGAUGAUCAGCCACACUGGGACUGAGACACGGCCCAGACUCCUACGGGAGGCAGCAGUAGGGAAUAUUGGACAAUGGGGGAAACCCUGAUCCAGCAAUGCCGCGUGAGUGAAGAAGGCCCUCGGGUUGUAAAACUCUUUCAUCAAUGAUGAUAAUGACAUUAGUUGAAGAAGAAGCUCCGGCUAACUUCGUGCCAGCAGCCGCGGUAAUACGAAGGGGGCUAGCGUUGUUCGGAAUCACUGGGCGUAAAGCGUAUGUAGGCGGAUCAAAAAGUUAGAUGUGAAAUCCCUGGGCUCAACCCAGGAACUGCAUUUAAAACUAGUGAUCUAGAAUUUGGUAAGGGUUAGUAGAAUUUCCAGUGUAGAGGUGAAAUUCGUAGAUAUUGGAAAGAAUACCAGAAGCGAAGGCGACUAACUAGGCCAUUUUUGACGCUGAGAUACGAAAGCGUGGGUAGCAAACAGGAUUAGAUACCCUGGUAGUCCACGCAGUAAACGAUGAGUGCUAGUCGCUGGUGCAAUAGUAUCAGUGUCGAAGCUAACGCAUUAAGCACUCCGCCU
rnacentral:rRNA from 1 species